GUGGGGAAUAUUGGACAAUGGGCGAAAGCCUGAUCCAGCCAUGCCGCGUGUGUGAAGAAGGUCUUCGGAUUGUAAAGCACUUUAAGUUGGGAGGAAGGGCAGUAAGUUAAUACCUUGCUGUUUUGACGUUACCGACAGAAUAAGCACCGGCUAACUUCGUGCCAGCAGCCGCGGUAAUACGAAGGGUGCAAGCGUUAAUCGGAAUUACUGGGCGUAAAGCGCGCGUAGGUGGUUUUGUAAGUUGGAGGUGAAAUCCCCGGGCUCAACCUGGGAACUGCCUCCAAAACUGCAUGACUAGAGUACGGUAGAGGGUAGUGGAAUUUCAUGUGUAGCGGUGAAAUGCGUAGAUAUAGGAAGGAACACCAGUGGCGAAGGCGACUACCUGGACUGAUACUGACACUGAGGUGCGAAAGCGUGGGGAGCAAACAGGAUUAGAAACCCUGGUAGUCC
rnacentral:rRNA from 1 species